rnacentral:rRNA from 1 species
UGGCCCCUUGGGUGGCCAGUGGGGGACGGGAGAACAAUACGUCCGAAUCUCCUUUUUCUUGGGGAUUACUCUAGGAAAACUUGGCCUAUUACCACAAAUCACUUUUGGUUGAAGGCAGGGGACCUUCGGGCCUUGCGCGAUUGAAUGAGCCGAUGUCGGAUUAGCUACUUGGCGGGGUAAAGGCCCACCAGGGCCACCAUCCGUACCUGGUCUGACAGGAUGAUCAGGCUGACUGGAACUGAGACACGGUCCACACUCCCACGGGACGCAGGGGUGGGGAAUAUUGGAAAAUGGGCGCAAGCCUGAACCACCCAUUGCGCGUGGGUGAAGAAAGCCUUCAGGUUUUAAAGCCCUUUUGUUGGGAAAGAAAUGCAACAGGCUAAUACCCGGUUGGGAUGACUGUACCCAAAGAACAUUCUCCGACUAACUUCGUGCCCUCCGCCCCGGUAAUACGAAUGGUGCAUACGUGACUCGGAUUUACUGGACUUAUAGCGUGCAUAGGUGGUCCUUUAAGUCCUUUGUGUCAGCCCUGAGCUCCACCGGUGAACUGCAGUGGAUACUGGGCGACUAGAGUGACUUAGAGGGUAACGGAAUUCCUGGUGUCCAGUGAAAUGCGUAAAGAUCGUAGAGGAUCAUCCGGAGGCCAAGGCGGCUACCUGGACUUUCACUUAUACUGAGGCACUAAAGCGUGAAGAGCUGACAAGAAUAACAUACACUAGAUACCCACGCCCUCCACGAUGCAAACUAUGAUGUUCGAGUGCAAUUUGGGGUCUCAGCAUCUAAGCUGAUCGCGUUAACGUCGUCGCCUGUCGACUACGGUCAGUACGACUGAAACUCAGAAGAUUGACGGAGUGCCCGCGCGACCCGCAGAGUAUGUGAUCUAAUUGGUUGCAUCGAGACAAC